rnacentral:piRNA from 1 species
UAUAGAAAGUGACCAGAGAGGUUGUGGAC